UACGUAGGGUGCAAGCGUUGUCCGGAAUUAUUGGGCGUAAAGAGCUCGUAGGCGGCUUGUCGCGUCUGCUGUGAAAUCCCGGGGCUCAACUCCGGGCCUGCAGUGGGUACGGGCAGGCUAGAGUGCGGUAGGGGAGAUUGGAAUUCCUGGUGUAGCGGUGGAAUGCGCAGAUAUCAGGAGGAACACCGAUGGCGAAGGCAGAUCUCUGGGCCGUAACUGACGCUGAGGAGCGAAAGCAUGGGGAGCGAACAGG
rnacentral:rRNA from 1 species